CCUCCAUGCUUCUAGUCCCUUCCUUGAGGCGAUCGGGUAAAUCAUAUGACGCGCCUCAGGCAAGGGACUUCUAGCUGGUGG
rnacentral:miRNA from 14 species